rnacentral:rRNA from 1 species
AUUGAACGCUGGCGGCAGGCCUAACACAUGCAAGUCGAACGAGUGGCGGACGGGUGAGUAAUGUCUGGGAAACUGCCUUAUGGAGGGGGAUAACUACUGGAAACGGUAGCUAAUACCGCAUACCAUCGGAUGUGCCCAUAUGGGAUUAGGUAGUAGGUUGUGUAAAGGCUCACCGAGGCGACGAUCCCUAGCUGGUCUGAGAGGAUGACGAGCCACACUGGAACUUAGACACGGGCCAGACUCCUACGGGAGGCAGCAGUGGGGAAUAUGGCACAAUGGGCGCAAGCCUGAUGCAGCCAUGCCGCGUGUAUGAAGAAGGCCUUCGGGUUGUAAAGUACUUUCAGCGGGGAGGCGUUACCCGCAGAAGAAGCACCGGCUAACUCCGUGCCAGCCGCCGCGGUAAUAC